rnacentral:rRNA from 1 species
GACGAACGCUGGCGGCGUGCUUAACACAUGCAAGUCGAACGGUGAAGCGCCUUCCUUUUUGGUGGGUGUGGAUGAGUGGCGAACGGGUGAGUAACACGUGAGUAACCUGCCCCCUUCUUCUGGAUAACCGCAUGAAAGUGUGGCUAAUACGGGAUAUUCUGUGUCUGUCGCAUGAUGGGUCUGGGAAAGAUAUUGUUUCGGUGGGGGAUGGGCUCGCGGUCUAUCAGCUUGUUGGUGGGGUGAUGGCUUACCAAGGCGGUGACGGGUAGCCGGACUAAGAGGGUGGACGGUAGCAGUGGGAAUGGGACACGGCGCCAACUCGGAAGGGAGGCAGCGGUGGGGAAUAUUGGACAAGGGGCGGAAGCCUGAUGCGGCGAAGGGGCGUAAGGGAUGGAGGCCUUCGGGUUGUGAACCUCUUUCGCCAGUGAAGCAGACCUGCCUCGUUUGUGGGUGGGUUGACGGUAACUGGAUAAGAAACGCCGGCUAACUACGUG